rnacentral:rRNA from 1 species
GGAACGUUACCUUUAGUCGGGUAGGGGGAAUAACGCAGACGAAAGCUGCGCUAAUACCGCAUACGAUCUACGGAUAGAAAGGCGGGGGAUCGCAAGACCUCGCGCGAUUUGGAGCGGCCGAUAUCAGAUUAGGUAGUUGGUGGGGUAAAAGGCUCACCAAGCCAACGAUCUGUAGCUGGUCUGAGAGGACGACCAGCCACACUGGAACUGAGACACGGUCCAGACUCCUACGGGAGGCAGCAGUGGGGAAUUUUUGGACAAUGGACGCAAGUCUGAUCCAGCCAUUCCGCGUGCAGGAUGAAGGCCCUCGGGUUGUAAACUGCUUUUGUACGGAACGAAAAGGUUUCUAUUAAUACUAGGAGCUCAUGACGGUACCGUAAGAAUAAGCACCGGCUAACUACGUG